UGAGUACAAGAUGCUACGGCAUUGAAGCAGUCUAUGUCAUACUUCCAAGAAAAGCUUGCAAUGUCAUAAACAAAUAAUGCCUGUACCAUAACCGACACAGGUGGGUAGGUAGAGUAUACUAAGGGGCGCGAGAUAACUCUCUCUAAGGAACUCGGCAAAAUGACUCCGUAACUUCGGGAGAAGGAGUACCUUAUUUUAUAAGGUUGCAAUAACAAGGUCCAAGCAACUGUUUACCAAAAACACAGGUCUCCGCUAAGUCGUAAGACGAUGUAUGGGGGCUGACGCCUGCCCAGUGCCAGAAGGUUAAAGAAGUUGGUUAGCAUUAGCGAAGCUGAUAACUGAAGCCCUGGUGAACGGCGGCCGUAACAAUAACGGUCCUAAGGUAGCGAAAUUCCUUGUCGGGUAAGUUCCGACCCGCACGAAAGGCGUAAUGAUUUGGAUACUGUCUCGGAGAGGGGCUCGGUGAAAUAGACUUGUCUGUGAAGAUGCGGACUACCUGCACCUGGACAGAAAGACCCUAUGAAGCUUUACUGUAACUUGAGAUUGAAAUUGGACUUUAUUUGCGCAGUAUAGGUGGGAGACCUCGAAAGUAUUCUUGCGGGAAUAUUGGAGUCAUCAGUGAGAUACCACUCUUAUAAUGUUAGAUUUCUAACUUUGUAUCAUUAUCUGGUCAAAGAACAGUUUCAGGCGGGCAGUUUGACUGGGGCGGUCGCCUCCCAAAUGGUAACGGAGGCGCACAAAGGUUUCCUCUGAACGUGUAGAAAUCGUAUCUAGAGUGUAAAGGCAUAAGGAAGCUUGACUGUGAGACCUACAAGUCGAGCAGGGACGAAAGUCGGUCUUAGUGAUCUGACGGUGCUGAGUGGAAAGGCCGUCACUCAACGGAUAAAAGUUACUCUAAGGAUAACAGGCUGAUCUCCCCCAAGAGUUCACAUCGACGGGGAGGUUUGGCACCUCGAUGUCGGCUCAUCGCAUCCUGGGGCGGUAGUACGUCCCAAGGGUUGGGCUGUUCGCCCAUGAAAGCGGUACGCGAGCUGGGUUCAGAACGUCGUGAGACAGUUCGGUCCAUAUCCGGUGUAGGCGUUAGAAUAUUGAGAGGAGCCUUCUUUAGUACGAGAGGACCGAGAAGGACAUACCUCUGGUGUACCAGUUAUCGUGCCAACGGUAAACGCUGGGUAGCUAUGUAUGGAGAGGAUAACCGCUGAAAGCAUCUAAGUGGGAAGCCCACCUCAAGAUAAGUAUUCUCA
rnacentral:rRNA from 1 species